rnacentral:rRNA from 1 species
GACGAACGCUGGCGGCGUGCUUAACACAUGCAAGUCGAACGGAAAGGCCCUGCUUUUGUGGGGUGCUCGAGUGGCGAACGGGUGAGUAACACGUGAGUAACCUGCCCUUGACUUUGGGAUAACUUCAGGAAACUGGGGCUAAUACCGGAUAGGAGCUCCUGCUGCAUGGUGGGGGUUGGAAAGUUUCGGCGGUUGGGGAUGGACUCGCGGCUUAUCAGCUUGUUGGUGGGGUAGUGGCUUACCAAGGCUUUGACGGGUAGCCGGCCUGAGAGGGUGACCGGCCACAUUGGGACUGAGGUACGGCCCAGACUCCUACGGGAGGCAGCAGUGGGGAAUAUUGCACAAUGGGCGGAAGCCUGAUGCAGCAACGCCGCGUGCGGGAUGACGGCCUUCGGGGUGUAAACCGCUUUCGCCUGUGACGAAGCGGGAGUGACGGUAAUGGGUAAAGAAGCACCGGCUAACUACGUG